GGGCUCACACAAGCGGUGGAGCAUGUGGCUUAAUUCGAGGCAACGCGAAGAACCUUAUCCUGGGUUUGACAUGUACGGAUGGCUCGCCUGAAAGGGAUGAGUCUGCCUUCGGGUGAAACGUACACAGGUGCUGCAUGGCUGUCGUCAGCUCGUGCCGUGAGGUGUAGGGUUUAAGUCCUUGAACGAGCGCAACCCUUGUCCUAGUUGCCAGCAUUUCGGAUGGGGACUCUAAGAGACUGCCGGUGUUAAAACCGGAGGAAGGUGGGACGACGUCAAGUCAUCAUGGCCUUUGAUGCCCCAGGGGCUGCACACGUGCUACAAUUGGGCGUACAAAGGGAAGCGAACCCCGCGAGGGGAAGCA
rnacentral:rRNA from 1 species